GACGUAGGGCGCGAGCGUUGUCCGGAUUUAUUGGGCGUAAAGAGCUCGUAGGCGGCUUGUUGCGUCGGCUGUGAAAACCCAUGGCUCAACCGUGGGCUUGCAGCCGAUACGGGCAGGCUAGAGUUCGGUAGGGGAGACUGGAAUUCCUGGUGUAGCGGUGAAAUGCGCAGAUAUCAGGAGGAACACCGGUGGCGAGGGCGGGUCUCUGGGCCGAUACUGACGCUGAGGAGCGAAAGCGUGGGGAGCGAACAGG
rnacentral:rRNA from 1 species